GACGUAGGGCGCGAGCGUUGUCCGGAUUUAUUGGGCGUAAAGAGCUCGUAGGCGGCUUGUCGCGUCGUCCGUGAAAACUUGGGGCUCAACCCCAAGCUUGCGGUCGAUACGGGCAGGCUAGAGUUCGGUAGGGGAGACUGAAAUUCCUGGUGUAGCGGUGAAAUGCGCAGAUAUCAGGAGGAACACCAGUGGCGAAGGCGGUGCUCUGGGCCGGAACUGACGCUGAGGAGCGAAAGCGUGGGGAGCAAACAGG
rnacentral:rRNA from 1 species